AUUGAACGCUGGCGGCAGGCCUAACACCUGCAAGUCGAACGAGUGGCGGACGGGUGAGUAAUGUCUGGGAAACUGCCUGAUGGCGGGGGAUAACUACUGGAAACGGUAGCUAAUUCCGCAUACUAUCAGAUGUGCCCAGAUGGUAUUAGCUUGUUGGUGGGGUAACGGCUCACCAAGGCGAAGAUCCCUAGCUGGUCUGAGAGGAUGACCAACCACACUGGAACUGAGACACGGUCCAUACUCCUACGGGGUUCAGCAGUGGGGAAUAUUGCACAAUGGGCGCAAGCCUGAUGCAGCCAUGCCGCGUGUAUGAAGAAGGCCUUCGGGUUUUAAAGUACUUUCAGCGGGGAGGCGUUACCCACAGAAGAAGCACCGGCUAACUCCGUGCCAGCAGCCGCGGUAAUUC
rnacentral:rRNA from 1 species